ensembl:lncRNA
CCCAAAGCCAAUUCCUCCUUUUUCCGCCUUUCCUUCCAGAUCUCUGCUGCCAAUGACUGGAACGAAUUGAAAAAAAUCACUGAAGCUGGAGACUCAUAUCUCCCUCACUAUCUUUAAGCAUCAGCCGUCAGAGCAGCUUACAGAUCAUUGCACCUAGAAUACUUCAAAAUGAGAAGAUCCUGCCAUGGAAAAGACGACUGGGCGGACAUAAAGUGUAAAGGAGGGGAAAUAACUCCCACCAUGCAGCAGGACACCUUCAGCUGUGUGGUCUUCGUAAUGCAGAACUUCUCCAACAUCCCCUCCCAAAUUGAUAUGGAACCUUCAAAAACACAUGGAGCAACUGGGAACAGAAAAUGGCUGAGGAUAUACUAAACAUGUCUGAGUUCAACAAAGCCAACAACCGCUUCAUGUGUGCCACUGAUAAAGAACCUGGAUGUGGCCCAAAGACUGACUGGGUUCGUAACUUUAUUUAACAUGUUCAUAAUCUUUUGACGACAGUGACGGCAUGUAAGACAAUUUGUGAUAUAACACAAUGGAUGGCUAAUUUGUCAUACUGCAUUGAUAUUUGAUAUUAUUUACAACGUGUUACACUUUGUUUUGUUUUGAUUGAUUGUUUUGCAUGCCAACGGGGGUUCCAUGUGCUGUGCCUAGGAAUGAAGACAAAAGAGUUCAACAGAGUGAAGAACACAAACUGGAUGUGCAGUCUUUGUUGUUGAAAAUGUAUGCUAUACCCCAUCCACACUGAAGAGGCUCUGACAUGUACAUCA